AACUUAAGAUUCAAAUAUAAAGUAUUUUUUAACUUUUAUUAAAA
rnacentral:tRNA from 1 species